rnacentral:lncRNA from 1 species
AACGCCGGAAAGUCAGGCUAAAAGUGUCUGCUGCUGCUGCUGCCGCCCCCCACUCCGCCUCCAGGAGAGACCUGAGGACUCUGCUGCAAUGGAACCACCAAGCCAUCUUUGACCUAGCACUGGGGGGAAAAAUGUCCAGGUGAAGAACCUAAAGAAAUGGUGUUACCUGGCAAGAGAUCUGCUAUCCUUUAUGAAAAAUCCAGCCAAG